rnacentral:misc_RNA from 1 species
UAUUGCUUCAACAUUAGUUGCUAUUCACUCAUUUGAGAUUAUUCUAACAAGACGUUAAUACUUUUUUUUUAUCAUAAUAUAGUAAAUUAGCAUUAAACAAUGGAUGUUAUUCAAAAUAUAAUAUUAACAAUAAAAGCAAAAAAUAGUUCACAUGUUGGCUAUGGUCUUCAGAGUGAGUUUGAAUCUUUGGUAUGUGGUGUUUUACAAAAUAUGGCUAAAUCACCAAUGCCAUUAUUGAAAAUUGAAAAAAAAAAUAAUAUUGAUUCAGUUAAAUACCGAGCAGAUGGUAAUGAAUAUUUUGUUGGUGGUGAUGAUAACAGAGCUAUCGAGUCUUAUACUAAAAGCUUGGCAUAUGCUGAUACAGAUUUAAAUAAAGCAUAUGCUUAUGCAAAUCGUUCAGCAGCUCUUUAUCGUAAAAAAUUAUUUAAAGAAUGUAUAGCUGAUAUUACAAGAGCAAUUGAAUUAAAUUAUCCUUUGGAUAAACGUAAUAAAUUGGAGGAACGUGCUGCUAAAGCAAUUGAAGAAAUCAAUGAUAAUGAUGAAAAUAAAAAUAAAAAUAAAAAUUUAAAUUCAAAAGUAAUGUCAGUGCCUUAUGGAGCCAGCAAUGAAGCACCAGCAAAUAGUGCAGGUGUUAAAAUAUCAUAUUCACAUGAUUAUGGUAGACAUCUUGUUGCAACUUGUAAUUUUAAACCAGGUGAUAUUACGACAAUUGAGCAACCAUACUGUUGGGUCAUUUAUCAAGACAAAUUUUAUACACAUUGUCAUUAUUGUCUUGAACGAUGCUUCAAUUUAAUACCUUGUUCAGAAUGUCCAAUUGCUCAAUAUUGUUCUCCUGAAUGUAAAAAUUUAUCAUGGGAUAUUGGACAUAAUAUUGAAUGUUCAAUUUUAAGUGUAUUGAUUAAUUUAUUAAAUAUGGAUGAAGAUAAAGUACGAAUGGUCAUGAAAAUAACACGUUUACUAUUAACAGUUACAUCAAAUGGUACUAAAAUUAAUGAAUUACGAGAAGAUUUAAAAAUUGCUGAAAAAAAUUCAGAUGUUAGAACAGCUGGUUUUACUGAUAAAUUCAUGCUAGAUAGUAAAAGUCCAAGAUCAGCACUUAGUUUGGCAACAAAUGUUACAACAAGACCUCUUAUUGGAAUAAGUGCAUUUGCUUGUAUAUCAGCAUUAUCAAUUAUGUUAAUUUCAACACAAACAACUUUUUUUGGAAAAAAAUUAAACAUUGAAGAACUUAAAUAUCUUAAUAAAUAUCCAGAUAUUAAAUUUUGUGGAUCUUUACUGCUUAGAGCUUGUGUUAUAACAUCAUCAAAUUGUUUUUCUAUUCAACCAGAACCAGGUAUUAAAUCAGGCUCAGGUUUAUAUGUUGCUCACAGUUUAUACAAUCAUUCAUGUGCUCCAAAUACAUUUAGACAUUUUCAAGGAUUAACGAUGAUUACACGAGCUGUUGAACCAAUUUAUCCAGGUCAACAAAUAUUUACUGGCUAUGGUGCUGAUUAUUCAUAUAUGCCAAAAACACAACGUAAAAAAAAAUUAAUGGAUGAGUAUUUUUUUGAUUGCAAUUGUCCAGGUUGUAUAAAUGAUUGGCCAACUUAUAAUGAUAUAUUAAAAAAUCAUAUUGGUUCAAUAUCAAAUAAUAAAAAUAUUGUACAACAAUUAAAACCAUUUAGAAAAAGAUUAAUUGAUAAUAAAUUUGAUAUUGAAGCUGUCAAGGAAGUUAUUAAUAUUCUUCAUAAUCAAGUUAAAGUUAAACCAUGUGAAGAAAUAUUACAUGCAGUACAUUAUUUGAGAACUUAUUAUUUGGGUAAAUUACAUAGUUAAAAAAACCAAUGCUUAUUUGCUUAUUUAAUAUUUAUUAUUAAACGCUUAAUUUUUGAACAAUCAAUAAUACGAGAUAUUUUCAAAGAGCAUCAUAUAUGCUUCAUUCAAUUUUUGUUCAAUUGUCAUCCCAGUGGUAUUUAUAUCGACAACCAACAAUCAUAUCUUUAUGUAUCCAUUUUCAAAUAAUUUAUACCUUAUUUUUUUGUUGUAAUAAAAAAAAAAAAAAAAAAAAAAAAA